UACAGAGGUCCCGAGCGUUGUUCGGAUUCACUGGGCGUAAAGGGUGCGUAGGUGGCGAGGUAAGUCGGAUGUGAAAUCUCCAAGCUUAACUUGGAAAUGGCAUUGGAAACUACCUGGCUAGAGGUUUGGAGGGGGGACUGGAAUGCUUGGUGUAGCAGUGAAAUGCGUAGAUAUCUGGAGGAACACCGGUGGCGAAGGCGGCAUCCUGGACCGGCAUUGACGCUGAGGCGCGAAAGCCAGGGGAGCAAACGGG
rnacentral:rRNA from 1 species